GUUAGGAAUAUUGGACAAUGGGCGCAAGCCUGAUCCAGCCAUGCCGCGUGAACGAUGAAGGCCUUCGGGUUGUAAAGUUCUUUAGCCGAUGAUUAUACUGACUGUAGUCGGAAAAUAAGCCCCGGCUAACUUCGUGCCAGCAGCCGCGGUAAUACGAAGGGGGCGAGCGUUAUUCGGAAUCACUGGGCGUAAAGCGUGCGUAGGCGGUCUCGUAAGUUAGGAGUGAAAGCCCAGGGCUCAACCUUGGAAUUGCUCUUAAAACUGCAAGGCUAGAAUCUCGGAGAGGAUAGCGGAAUUUCCAGUGUAGCAGUGAAAUGCGUAGAUAUUGGAAGGAACACCAGUGGCGUAAGCGGCUAUCUGGACGAGUAUUGACGCUGAGGCACGAAAGCGUGGGGAUCAAACAGGAUUAGAAACCCCAGUAGUCC
rnacentral:rRNA from 1 species